rnacentral:rRNA from 1 species
AAAUUGAAGAGUUUGAUCAUGGCUCAGAUUGAACGCUGGCGGCAGGCCUAACACAUGCAAGUCGAACGGUAACAGGAAGCAGCUUGCUGCUUUGCUGACGAGUGGCGGACGGGUGAGUAAUGUCUGGGAAACUGCCUGAUGGAGGGGGAUAACUACUGGAAACGGUGGCUAAUACCGCAUAACGUCGCAAGACCAAAGAGGGGGACCUUCGGGCCUCUUGCCAUCAGAUGUGCCCAGAUGGGAUUAGCUUGUUGGUGAGGUAACGGCUCACCAAGGCGACGAUCCCUAGCUGGUCUGAGAGGAUGACCAGCCACACUGGAACUGAGACACGGUCCAGACUCCUACGGGAGGCAGCAGUGGGGAAUAUUGCACAAUGGGCGCAAGCCUGAUGCAGCCAUGCCGCGUGUAUGAAGAAGGCCUUCGGGUUGUAAAGUACUUUCAGCGGGGAGGAAGGUGUUGCGGUUAAUAACCGCAGCAAUUGACGUUACCCGCAGAAGAAGCACCGGCUAACUCCGUGCCAGCAGCCGCGGUAAUACGGAGGGUGCAAGCGUUAAUCGGAAUUACUGGGCGUAAAGCGCACGCAGGCGGUCUGUCAAGUCGGAUGUGAAAUCCCCGGGCUCAACCUGGGAACUGCAUUCGAAACUGGCAGGCUUGAGUCUUGUAGAGGGGGUAGAAUUCCAGGUGUAGCGGUGAAAUGCGUAGAGAUCUGGAGGAAUACCGGUGGCGAAGGCGGCCCCCUGGACAAAGACUGACGCUCAGGUGCGAAAGCGUGGGGAGCAAACAGGAUUAGAUACCCUGGUAGUCCACGCCGUAAACGAUGUCUACUUGGAGGUUGUGCCCUUGAGGCGUGGCUUCCGGAGCUAACGCGUUAAGUAGACCGCCUGGGGAGUACGGCCGCAAGGUUAAAACUCAAAUGAAUUGACGGGGGCCCGCACAAGCGGUGGAGCAUGUGGUUUAAUUCGAUGCAACGCGAAGAACCUUACCUGGUCUUGACAUCCACAGAACUUUCCAGAGAUGGAUUGGUGCCUUCGGGAACUGUGAGACAGGUGCUGCAUGGCUGUCGUCAGCUCGUGUUGUGAAAUGUUGGGUUAAGUCCCGCAACGAGCGCAACCCUUAUCCUUUGUUGCCAGCGGUCAGGCCGGGAACUCAAAGGAGACUGCCAGUGAUAAACUGGAGGAAGGUGGGGAUGACGUCAAGUCAUCAUGGCCCUUACGACCAGGGCUACACACGUGCUACAAUGGCGCAUACAAAGAGAAGCGACCUCGCGAGAGCAAGCGGACCUCAUAAAGUGCGUCGUAGUCCGGAUUGGAGUCUGCAACUCGACUCCAUGAAGUCGGAAUCGCUAGUAAUCGUGGAUCAGAAUGCCACGGUGAAUACGUUCCCGGGCCUUGUACACACCGCCCGUCACACCAUGGGAGUGGGUUGCAAAAGAAGUAGGUAGCUUAACCUUCGGGAGGGCGCUUACCACUUUGUGAUUCAUGACUGGGGUGAAGUCGUAACAAGGUAACCGUAGGGGAACCUGCGGUUGGAUCACCUCCUUACCUGAAAGAA